rnacentral:SRP_RNA from 1 species
GCAAGAUGGAAUACAUCUGUAAUCCCUACUACCAUGGAGGCUGAGGCUUGUAGGGCUCUUGAGCUUGGAAGCUUUGAGCUGCAGUGGGCUAAGCCAAUUGAGUGUCUGAACUAACUUUGCCACUGAUGUGGUGAGACCUUUGGAGGAAGGACCACCAUACUGCAAAGGAGAAGCAAACUAGCCUAGAUCAGAAAUGGAGAAGGCCAGAGCUUCCAUGUUGAUAAGCAAUGAUAGAGCCUAUAAGCAUUGGUGUCUACACUUUCAGCCUGGGCAAGAUAGGGAGAUUUAAUUUCAA